rnacentral:lncRNA from 7 species
GGAUCUUUGCAGAAUGAAGGAAUUUUGUGUUUUCUUCUAGAAAACCCAUCUGUGUUUCUAAUAAAAUUCUGGAACAACUUCAGUGAUGAUCUGAAGAUCCGUAUGGAUCUUAUUAUAUUCCUCCUGCUUGCCAUAGGACUCUGGGAAUUGAGGAAAGCUGUGGAAGUUGGUUAUGAGGUUUUCAUUCCAUAUGAAGAUGAAGAAGAAGCUGGAUUCUAGAUAGAAGUCCUCCAGGAGGCAAAGAGAAGGGAGAAGGGAGUUUUCAGAAUGUGAGAAAGAACUUGGACAAAUAGAGGACUCCAAUCAUUUUUAUCUCCUUCAAUCUAUAUUAUGUUAGAGCUGCUGUUUUAUGAAUGUUUCAGCUGCCUCAGAAAUAGAGUCUAAGUUAUGAGCUACUUGUAUUCUUAAUGAUAUCUUGUGUAUAAGGCUUGCUAAAGAUGCUUCACCUGAGAUGAAGAUUCACAGGAUUUUGGAAAGAGAAUGAAGAGUUACUUCUUCCUGAGGAGUACCUCGGGAAGGAAAAGGAUUACUUCUGUUCUGCAGCUGUGCCAAAAUGUAAUGUAGUAUUUUUAAUGUUAAAAUGAAAAAUAAUGAUUCCUUCCUGAGAUUCCUUAAUCUGCUUGUUAGGUGGGAGUGUUCCCCUUCAGAUUUAUCUGGAACUGUCAAUGAUUUUGUAGCACUGCAUUAGAACUUUUAUUAAAUACUUGUCACAGGAGCAGUUUCUUGCCAAAGGACAUUAUUUAAUAUGAGUUUCUGGAGGAUUCAUAGAAACGUUAAGUCAGAAUGAUCCUGAACAAGUUAUCUAAUCUAUCAGAGCCAGAGGAUAGAAUGAUCAGCUACGUCUAGAUAAUUUGUGACAGAUAUAGUUACCCUGUUCUGCAAAAAUACCAACAAUCCAAAUGUUAUAGUUGGUGUAUACAUAUUAAUAUAUGUAUAUAACAUAUAUUAAUGUUAUAAUAUGCUUUCUACGUAGCAUAUUCCAUAUUACCUAUUCUCAAAAUUAACACAUUUUCCCUGAAAUCUAACCCUGAUGUAAAUAAAGCUGAGUAUAUGUUGUCUUAAUAAAGUAGAUACAUGG